UACGAAGGGGGCUAGCGUUGCUCGGAAUCACUGGGCGUAAAGCGCACGUAGGCGGCUUUCUAAGUCAGGGGUGAAAUCCCGGAGCUCAACUCCGGAACUGCCUUUGAUACUGGAAAGCUUGAGUUCGGGAGAGGUGAGUGGAACUGCGAGUGUAGAGGUGAAAUUCGUAGAUAUUCGCAAGAACACCAGUGGCGAAGGCGGCUCACUGGCCCGAUACUGACGCUGAGGUGCGAAAGCGUGGGGAGCAAACGGG
rnacentral:rRNA from 1 species